ensembl:lncRNA
GGCUAACACAGGUGGCCAACAUCAUAGUUGCUGAAAGCAACACAGGAGCAGAGGCAAGCAAACUGCACUGCGAGCAACACAGAGGGUUAUGAGUCGCCCAGUUUUCUGGGCUCCACCAGAACAGGGGUGGCCAGCAGGGACAGGGAGGUGAUUGUCCUUCUCUACUCUGCCCUCAUGAGGCCCCAUUUGGAGUACUGCAUCCAGGUCUGGAGCCUCCAAUACGAGAAAGACAGAGCUGUUGGAGAGGGUCCAGAGGAAGGCCAGGCUGAGGGAGCCAGGCUUGUUCAGCCUGGAGAAGAGAAGGCUGCGGGGUGACCCCACUGCAUCCUUCCAGUACCUAAAGGAAGCCUAUAAACAGGAGGGGAGUCAACUCUUUGAAAGGGUAGAUAACAGCAGAACAAGGGGAAAUGGUUUUAAGUUGAAGGAGGGAAGAUUUAGGUUGGAUGUCAGGGGGACAUUCUUUACUGUGAGAGUGGUGAGGUGCUGAAACAGCUGCCCAGGGAGGCUGUGUAUGCCCCGUCCAUCCCUGGAGCUGUUCAAGACCAGGUUGGAUGGGGCUCUGGGCAGCCUGGGCUGGUAUUAAGUGUGGAGGUUGGUGGCCCUGAUUGCCGCAGCGGGGUUGAAGCUUCAUGAUCCUUGAGGUCCCUUCCAGCCCCACCAUUCUGUGUCAUCUGUGUGAGUUCACUUCAGCAUACACACCCUCACACACACCCUCACACACACACACACACACACACACACACACAGGCACCCAUAGUAGAUAAUCCCAGUAAGCGAGAAGCAGAAACUCCCUAAGCAAGCGCGCUAUUACUUACCAACCACUGAGAGAUGGCAAAAGGCUGAAAAGGAGAGAAAAGGACCAUGCUGGUGUUGGAUGCCAGCAGGGCAUCAAAUGCUUCAAAGGGCACUUCUCCUCUCUCCCCCAAUGGUUUUCCCAGGGUCUGCAGGCUUUUUUCCACUUCAACACCAUACCCGUGUGGCUGACACAUGAUGCCUGUAGUGACAGAAAGACAGGGUGGUCUUAACUAUGACGGGAGAUGUUUGAGUUAUUGGCUCUGUCACCUGUAAUGCAGAAUAAGCAGUCAAUAACUGCUUUGCAAUCAUACCGUACCUUUCCUCUGCUCUGUGCCAAACUUAAGACCAGAACCCAACUGGGGUUCAAACAGAAUUUUGGCACUGCCAUAGAUGCUAGCCAAACCCAUCUUGAGUUGCAUGCAUCUAGUUUAGCUGUAAGGGUAGGAUCGAAUAUUACCCAGUGCCUGGGCCUGUUUAGCAGCUAAGUUGGCUUCCUGGAAUGCCUCUUCUUCUGUUCUUCUUCAGUCCCGUUUUUGGCCUUUCUUUGUGAGCCAAUACAAAGGCCUCAGCAGCUGCACUAGGUUGGAUAUAAAGGAAUAUCAGUAUCUCUAUAUACCCCAAAAUUCCUGCAGCUGCCACGGCACGGCAGGGACUGGGAAUGCCUGAACUUUGUCUGUUAUUGCACUGACCAAAUUAUACCCAGGAAUUUUACCAAUAAACCUGGUCCUUGCACUUUUUGUAGGUUUACAGUCCACCCUUUUUCUUGUAAGUGAGCAGUUAGUGAGUCUACUGCCUUUCCUAAUGCCACCAGAGAGGCAUCAUUCUCCACAAAUUCUAACAACAAAAACUCAGAUCUCUCAUCCGUGGCCAUGCACGGAAAAGAAGCACACAUAAAUAUAUAAAUGUAAGUGAAUGUCACUGGGAUAGUACCAGUGUAACUGCUUUUCCCACUUGCUAUGGCUGAUGCAAAUAUGAUUGACUGUAGUGUGCAUAGGGAGAGAGAUACAUCCUGCUCACCCCUCCUCCACCUUCUUCCCUCAGCUCCCUUCUUCAGCCUGGCCUUGCUCACAAGGCCCUGCACAGGAAGACAAUGCACAACACAACAGGUAACACUGGCUAAAACAGAUUAAUGGCCUUAAAUCUGUCUCAAAGUGGGGAUUGAAAGAAAUGAUAGCAGAGCCCUGCUUCAACAGCUGGGGCACAAGUGAGCACGCUCUGAGCCUCAGGACUCAGCAUAUACAUAUAAACACACACUAUGUGUGUGUGUUUAACCCUGCCCUCUAUGCCAUAAAUAACCACAUGGCUACAACAGUCUUGUUAAGCCGUUCUUAGAUCACUACAUUAUACCAACAUUAUAUCAGGAAAUACAUUCCUCCAUCUCUCUUAGCAGUGAAGGGCGCAGCAUCGCUGUUUCCAGCCCCAGCUGCCAGCCAGCCAGGGACAGAAAUACCUUGCAACCAUUCCUCCCUUCGCCUUCGCAGCUCUUCUCCCUGCAGGGCAGAGCUGAACUUUCUGCUGUCAGUAUUUCAGCCCUCUGCCCACCCCAUCUGACAGCGCAGGGCCUGAAGGCACACGCUGGGUGCGUGCUGAACCCACCUGCACCGAGUGCCCCGGCGGCUGUAUUUCCCUCCUCCCCCACCAGGGGGCGCUGCUUCCCAUUCAGUUGAGCACUCAGCCUGCGCUCACUUCGCGGGGACGUUCUCAGCAGCGCGUGCCCUUUGCAGAAGGCAGCCUGGGCUACACUUUACUGACCUGCUGCUUGGGCACGCUCUCAACGUGUGCUCGAGUCAGCCCACAGGCUGUCAGCUUUUCAUCGUCUGUUACAAAGCCCAGUGCCGCAGCUGGUGCAGAUGCUGAACGUGCUCAGGGCCCGCAGCUGUGCGCUGAAGGCAUCGGCGGCUGCCAGGACAGCCUGAACAAAAGCCUUGAGGAAGGGUUUGCAGAACCCCAUGUGAGCCAUCAGCCAAACGCUCAGCGCACAAAAGAUAACGCUGAAAGGGCCGCUAGAGGCAGAAGUUGCCUGCUGGGUCCCCGAAGGGAAACUGAGAGCUGCCGGGGAGGGGGAGGGGAGUGGAAAUUCUCCCCUUGGAGGCUUUACUUUAAGACGUUCCAAAGGAGGCAUCGGGGAGUUGAAAGCUUCCAUCAAUCCAUGCGUGCAGAGCUGCGGAGCGAGGUCAUCUCGUGUCUCGCGUGGCCCAGAGGAAGAAAUGCAGUCCCGGCUGUGCUGCGUUACAGAGAGCCAAGCGGGCAGCAGAACACGCUGAGCUCCUCUGCUCAUUUCCUCGCUGUCCCAGCUCCAACCCCUUCCUGUGCCCCUCCAUAUACAACCCGGGCUGCAACACAUCUGGGAACCACUGCUCCCCUCGUUGCAGGCCGACUGUCCCAGCAAAUCUGCUGUGCUGGUGAUACAGGUUGGUUUGUUUAGCAGUAGGGACGAGUACGUUAAUUUAAGAACCAAUAUCUAAGUUUAGCAAAAGGAAUACCUCCCAAGACAAAGCCUCCCGAUGCUACCCUCGGAUCGCU